AUUCCAGCUCCAAUAGCGUAUAUUAAAGUUGUUGCAGUUAAAAAGCUCGUAGUUGAACUUUGGGCCCGGUUGGCCGGUCCGAUUUUUUCGUGUACUGGAUUUCCAACGGGGCCUUUCCUUCUGGCUAACCUUGAGUCCUUGUGGCUCUUGGCGAACCGGGACUUUUACUUUGAAAAAAUUAGAGUGUUCAAAGCAGGCGUAUUGCUCGAAUAUAUUAGCAUGGAAUAAUAGAAUAGGACGUUUGGUUCUAUUUUGUUGGUUUCUAGGACCAUCGUAAUGAUUAAUAGGGACGGUCGGGGGCAUCAGUAUUCAAUUGUCAGAGGUGAAAUUCUUGGAUUUAUUGAAGACUAACUACUGCGAAAGCAUUUGCCAAGGACGUUUUCAUUA
rnacentral:rRNA from 1 species